rnacentral:rRNA from 1 species
GACGAACGCUGGCGGCGUGCUUAACACAUGCAAGUCGAGCGAUGAAGCCCUUCGGGGUGGAUUAGCGGCGGACGGGUGAGUAACACGUGGGUAACCUGCCUCAAAGAGGGGGAUAGCCUCCCGAAAGGGAGAUUAAUACCGCAUAACAUUAGUUUUUCGCAUGGAGAACUAAUUAAAGGAGUAAUCCACUUUGAGAUGGACCCGCGGCGCAUUAGCUAGUUGGUGAGGUAAUGGCUCACCAAGGCGACGAUGCGUAGCCGACCUGAGAGGGUGAUCGGCCACAUUGGAACUGAGACACGGUCCAGACUACUACGGGAGGCAGCAGUGGGGAAUAUUGCACAAUGGGCGAAAGCCUGAUGCAGCAACGCCGCGUGAGUGAUGAAGGCCUUCGGGUUGUAAAGCUCUGUCUUUUGGGACGAUAAUGACGGUACCAAAGGAGGAAGCCACGGCUAACUACGUGCCAGCCGCCGCAGUAACAC